rnacentral:rRNA from 1 species
CCUGGUUGAUUCUGCCAGUAGUCAUAUGCUUGUCUUAAAGAUUAAGCCAUGCAUGUCUAAGUAUAAGCAAUUAUACAGCGAAACUGCGAAUGGCUCAUUAAAUCAGUUAUCGUUUAUUUGAUAGUACCUUACUACAUGGAUAACCGUGGUAAUUCUAGAGCUAAUACAUGCUGAAAACCCCGACUUCGGAAGGGGUGUAUUUAUUAGAUUAAAAGCCAAUGCCCUCCGGGGCUCACUGGUGAUUCAUGAUAACUUCUCGAAUCGCACGGCCUUGCGCCGGCGAUGGUUCAUUCAAAUUUCUGCCCUAUCAACUUUCGACGGCUGGGUCUUGGCCAGCCGUGGUGACAACGGGUAACGGAGGGUUAGGGCUCGACCCCGGAGAAAACGCCUGAGAAACGGCGUUUACAUCCAAGGAAGGCAGCAGGCGCGCAAAUUACCCAAUGCCGACACGGCGAGGUAGUGACGAGAAAUACUGAUACAGGGCUCUUUUGGGUCUUGUAAUUGGAAUGAGUACAAUUUAAAUCUCUUAACGAGGAACAAUUGGAGGGCAAGUCUGGUGCCAGCAGCCGCGGUAAUUCCAGCUCCAAUAGCGUAUAUUAAAGUUGUUGCAGUUAAAAAGCUCGUAGUUGAACCUUGGGCCUGGCUGGCCGGUCCGCCUCACCGCGUGCACUGGUCCGGCCGGGCCUUUCCCUCUGGGGAGCCCCAUGCCCUUUACUGGGCGUGGCGGGGAACCAGGACUUUUACUUUGAAAAAAUUAGAGUGUUCAAAGCAGGCCUAUGCUCGAAUACAUUAGCAUGGAAUAAUAGAAUAGGACGUGUGGUUCUAUUUUGUUGNGUCUGCUUAAUUGCGAUAACGAACGAGACCUUAACCUGCUAAAUAGCCCGCGUCGCUUUGGCGGCGCGCAGGCUUCUUAGAGGGACUAUCGGCUCAAGCCGAUGGAAGUUUGAGGCAAUAACAGGUCUGUGAUGCCCUUAGAUGUUCUGGGCCGCACGCGCGCUACACUGACACAGCCAGCGAGUCCUUCCUUGGCCGAGAGGCCCGGGUAAUCUUGUUAAACUGUGUCGUGCUGGGGAUAGAGCAUUGCAAUUAUUGCUCUUCAACGAGGAAUCCCUAGUAAGCGCAAGUCAUCAGCUUGCGUUGAUUACGUCCCUGCCCUUUGUACACACCGCCCGUCGCUACUACCGAUUGAACGGCUCAGUGAGGCCUUCGGACUGGCCCAGGGAGGUGGGCAACUACCACCCAGGUGCCGGAAAGUUGUACGAACUCGGUCGUUUAGAGGAAGUAAAAGUCGUAACAAGGUCUCCGUUGGUGAACCAGCGGAGGGAUCAUUA